rnacentral:rRNA from 1 species
UGGGGAAUAUUGGACAAUGGGGGGAACCCUGAUCCAGCCAUGCCGCGUGUGUGAAGAAGGCCUUAUGGUUGUAAAGCACUUUAAGCGAGGAGGAGGGUACUGGUAUUAAUACUACCAGCUACUGGACGUUACUCGCAGAAUAAGCACCGGCUAACUCUGUGCCAGCAGCCGCGGUAAUACAGAGGGUGCGAGCGUUAAUCGGAUUUACUGGGCGUAAAGCGUGCGUAGGCGGCUAAUUGAGUCGGAUGUGAAAUCCCCGAGCUUAACUUGGGAAUUGCAUUCGAUACUGGUUAGCUAGAGUGUGGGAGAGGAUGGUAGAAUUCCAGGUGUAGCAGUGAAAUGCGUAGAGAUCUGGAGGAAUACCGAUGGCGAAGGCAGCCAUCUGGCCUAACACUGACGCUGAGGUACGAAAGCAUGGGGAGCAAACAGG